rnacentral:misc_RNA from 1 species
CUGCAAUUGUUCACUGUCUUCAAGUUGGAUAUUCUGAGAAGUGUUUGUCUGACUCCAAUCAUUUCUAGAAUCAUUGACAUUACUAUCAAGUGUGCUAUCAGAAUGGCCACUUACUUGGCCACGAACAAUAUUUUCCAACCUGGAACGGAACCCUUCCCUCAAGCCAGAAACAGUAUGACGUUGUCUUAAUUGAACUAGUUCGCUUGCAGCCAUUGAAGGUGGUCUCUCUUCUUCAACAGGUCUUUCAUUUCGCAAGAAUCUACCUCUCAGUAAUGACUGUAUGCGGUUACGAUGAGCAAAAUCAGAGACAGCCCGAUGCUCCAACAAUCCUUGAAGUUCCCUCUGUCUUUCCCGCUCAAUCCUCA